UACUGCUUGACACCAGGCUUCGAUGACAUUAGGAUACUGCUUGACACCAGGCUACGGUGACAUUAGGAUACUGCUUAUUUAUUAUUUUGCACAUUCAUCAUGAAUAGAAAAAUCCAAAUAUGUCCUUUUCAUUUUAAGUCAAUUAAAAUUUGUGGUAGAUGCCACACUUAUUCUCUUCGAUAAACAUACUCUGGUAAGGUAAGGUACUUUUGAUAAAGUACUUUUUUAGAGACCUGUGAAGGCAGAAUGUGACAGACUUUGUUAGUACAUACGGGUAGUCUUCAACACUUUCCUUUUCGUCUUUAAAACUACUCGAAAGGAGCCUCCUCGAGCAACAACUUAUGAAGGUUGGGGAUGAAAAUAUCUGACGACAAAUACUAUACACACACAUUGGUGUUUGAUAUAUUUAAGGAAUUACCAAAAGACGAGUUGCAUAUGUCUCUGGAAAUGUAACGAUUAUUAUCACGUUUUUCUGAAGUUCCAGGAAUUUUGUAGAAAGUGAUGUUACGGUGGGACCACUGUCACAGUUGUUGUAUUUGACUGUUUAAGGUCAAGAUUAAUGGCUAUUUAAUUGUUUAAAUGUGUAUAAGUGGACAUUGUGCAGGGCUGCCGUAAAUUCAUCUGUCCAUCCCUCCUGACAAAGAACUGCUUCCAUGUUGUUUAUCAGACGCUGUGCUGUCAUUCAACCUACUGCUGAACUUUAGGUUGGGUUUGUUUCUCUUUUGCAUUGAAUAAAAUGAAGCGUGUCCUCAAA
ensembl:lncRNA